ensembl:lncRNA novel transcript
AAUAUCCAGUCUCCAUUUUCUUCCUAACUGAAUGUUGACUUCUUCCCCCUGGGAAACAAGAUAUCAAGGAAAAUGAUGCACCUUGUUUGCCUCCCUUGCAAGUGGGCCUGGCCCAUCCAUCAGAGAAAUGAUGCAACUGAGUCACAGAGAAGUUAAGUAAUCUGCCUGCCGACACUCGGGUCGAUGCCGCCUCAUUCCAUCACUCGGGCAAUGGAGCCAAAGGCCACGUUCACAACCACUAGGCUGUCCCAGCCCCUUGCUUCAAAGAUAGCCAGGCAGGAGUUAUUUUAUAGAAUGGAAGUAAUUUCUACGGGGCCAAGCAAUAAUAAGGAAAUUGGAAGUCAAGGACUAUCUUCCGAAUGGAGAAGAAGCUCCAUCAACCACAGAAGGAAAUUAUGAUCACUCCUGCCAUCCUGCUCCUUUGUGUAUCCAGGAUGAAGGGGAGAAUUGGAGUCUUGCACAAUGAAAGGACAACAUUGCUGCCAAAACAAUCCAUCGUGACUGUAGACAUAUUUUCCACCCUCAUCCUGCAGGUUUUCUGCCAGUUGUUGGCCCCUCACCAAUUUUGCUCCUGGGCAGUCUGAGGUGGAACAUAAUUUUGUAUAAAACAAAUUAUGCUCAACCUCACUUAUAAUCAGGGAAAUGUGAGUCAAAACCACAAUAAAAUAUCACCUCAUGCUGUUUAGGAUUGCUGUUAUCAAGUAGACAAGAAAGAAGUGUUGGUGAGGGUAAAAUCUGAUUGAACAACAGCAGCUGCCUUCAUCAAGGGAGCCUGGAGAGCAAACAGCGGAAAAACAGUCAUCUGGCAACAUGUUGCAGGAAAAAGACAUUACAAAAGAAUAACAAGCUUGAGAGAGACAGGGCGGAACGCCUCUCCCCGCCUAGCUGGGCCCUGUGGGCUCCCCUCCGCAACCCUAAGGCGGGAGGCCGAGGGCAGCGGGGAGUCGCGCUUCACCUUCGCCCCUCAUUUGACCCAUGGACUCAUUAAUGGAAGAACCGAGGCAAGCAAGUUCACGGGAAGAAAUGCGCCCUCCCAACUGGAGGCCACCAGCUGCCCACUCGGGAACACCUCAGGGUGCCAACUGCAUCUCUGCGGGGUCGCCAGCCAUUUCUAGGACAUAUGUUUGUCCUUGUGGUAUUUGGGCUGGAGGACUCCAACAGAGAUCAAGUGUGGAGAGCAGUUCCACAGUCUCAAAAGAAAACCGCGGAAGUCUUGCUCUCAUAGAAGUCAUGACAGCAGUCCUAUGACAGCAGUCCUUUGAAGAAGCCCAUACAUAACAAAUGUAUUUGUGGCAUUAACAAAAAAGGACCACAACAGUCUUCUACUGAGGCGUGGCAGUGGGAUUUCAGCAGCAAUUUCCGCCUAUACGCCAACUCUCACACAUGGAGAUAUGUUGCCCUAUUUUCUUCUCUAAUUGCCUUACAUAUGUAUAUUGCUUUAUUUCCCAACCUGAGAGUGUUAGAUCCUCAAGAAGAAAAACUGUAUCUCCCAUUUUCCCGGUAUGUCAAUUUCACUCAGAACAAUUUGAUGCACACAGUUGGGAUUUAAUCCAUAUUUGCCAGUGAGAUCUUAGAGUAUCAAGAAAAACGAUUCCCUCAA